rnacentral:rRNA from 1 species
UACAGAGGUCUCAAGCGUUGUUCGGAUUCAUUGGGCGUAAAGGGCGUGUAGGCGGUCAGGUAAGUGGGAUGUGAAAUCCCUCGGCUCACCCGAGGACCUGCAUCCCAAACUGCUUGGCUUGAGUAUGGGAGAGGAUGAGGGAAUUCCUGGUGUAGCGGUGAAAUGCGUAGAUAUCAGGAGGAACACCGGUGGCGAAAGCGCUCAUCUGGCCCAAUACUGACGCUGAGGCGCGAAAGCUAGGGGAGCAAACGGG